rnacentral:rRNA from 1 species
UGAGGAAUAUUGGGCAAUGGAGGCAACUCUGACCCAGCCAUGCCGCGUGAGUGAAGAAGGUUUUCGGAUUGUAAAGCUCUUUCGGGUGUGACGAUGAUGACGGUAGCACCUAAAGAAGCCCCGGCUAACUUCGUGCCAGCAGCCGCGGUAAUACGAAGGGGGCAAGCGUUGUUCGGAAUUACUGGGCGUAAAGGGAGUGUAGGCGGUUAUGUAAGAUAGUGGUGAAAUCCCAGAGCUUAACUUUGGAAUUGCCAUUAUGACUAUGUGGCUAGAAUUACAGAGAGGAUAGUGGAAUACCCAGUGUAGAGGUGAAAUUCGUAGAUAUUGGGUAGAACACCAGUGGCGAAGGCGACUAUCUGGCUGUAUAUUGACGCUGAGGCUCGAAAGCAUGGGGAUCAAACA